CCGCUAGAGAUAUUGGGCCUAAAGCAUCCGUAGCCGGUUCUGUAAGUUUCCGGUUAAGUCCACUAGCUCAACUAAUGGGCUGCCGGAAAUACUGUUCAGCUAGGGAGUGGGAGAGGUAGACGGUACUCGAUAGGAAGGGGUAAAAUCCUUUGAUCUAUUGAUGACCACCUGUGGCGAAGGCGGUCUACCAGAACACGUUCGACGGUGAGGGAUGAGAGCUGGGGGAGCAAACCGGAUUAGAUACCCGGGUAGUCCCAGCUGUAAACUAUGCAAACUCAGUGAUGCAUUGGCUUGUGGCCAAUGCAGUGCUGCAGGGAAGCCGUUAAGUUUGCCGCCUGGGAAGUACGUACGCAAGUAUGAAACUUAAAGGAAUUGGCGGGGGAGCAC
rnacentral:rRNA from 1 species